AACGCUAGCUACAGGCUUAACACAUGCAAGUCGAGGGGCAGCAUGGUCUUAGCUUGCUAAGGCCGAUGGCGACCGGCGCACGGGUGAGUAACACGUAUCCAACCUGCCGUCUACUCUUGGACAGCCUUCUGAAAGGAAGAUUAAUACAAGAUGGCAUCAUGAGUCCGCAUGUUCACAUGAUUAAAGGUAUUCCGGUAGACGAUGGGGACGCGUUCCAUUAGAUAGUAGGCGGGGUAACGGCCCACCUAGUCUUCGAUGGAUAGGGGUUCUGAGAGGAAGGUCCCCCACAUUGGAACUGAGACACGGUCCAAACUCCUACGGGAGGCAGCAGUGAGGAAUAUUGGUCGAUGGGCGCAGGCCUGAACCAGCCAAGUAGCGUGAAGGAUGACUGCCCUAUGGGUUGUAAACUUCUUUUAUAAAGGAAUAAAGUCGGGUACGUAUACCCGUUUGCAUGUACUUUAUGAAUAAGGAUCGGCUAACCCCGUGCCAGCAGCCGCGGUAAUACGGAGGAUCCGAGCGUUAUCCGGAUUUAUUGGGUUUAAAGGGAGCGUAGAUGGAUGUUUAAGUCAGUUGUGAAAGUUUGCGGCUCAACCGUAAAAUUGCAGUUGAUGCUGGAUAUCUUGAGUGCAGUUGAGGCAGGCGGAAUUCGUGGUGUAGCGGUGAAAUGCUUAGAUAUCACGAAGAACUCCGAUUG
rnacentral:rRNA from 1 species